rnacentral:rRNA from 1 species
GACGAACGCUGGCGGCGUGCUUAACACAUGCAAGUCGAAGAUAGUGGCGAACGGGUGAGUAAUACGUGGGUAACCUGCCCUCCUUUUUGGGAUAAGCCUUGGAAACGGGGUCUAAUACCGAAUAAAGGGGGAUGGGCUCGCGGCCUAUCAGCUUGUUGGUGGGGUGAUGGCCUACCAAGGCGGUGACGGGUAGCCGGCCUGAGAGGGUGAACGGGCACAGUGGGACGGGGAGAACGCCCAGAAUUCCAAGGGGGGGAGGAGUGGGGGAAAUUGGCAAAAGGGGGAAAGCCCGAGGCCGCGGAGGCGGGGGGGGGAAGAAGGCUUUUGGGGUGGUAAACUUGGUCGGCAACGAAAAGGGAGGUGGAGAAGAAGCCCCGGCUAACUAAGGUCCAGCCGCCGCGGUAAUUC